rfam:Gossypium arboreum cultivar AKA8401 contig_120179_1, whole genome shotgun sequence.
AUCUUUGCGCUUGGGGCAAUGACGCAGCUAGUGAGGUUUUAACCGAGGCGCAUCUAUUGCAGGUUGAAAACCAUUUCCAGACCCCCUCUUAGUCCUUGGUUCUACCCUGGCCUUUGAGAAUUUCAGGAUGGGUUCCCUUCGAGGUAGAACC